rnacentral:tRNA from 1 species
GCCUGGGUGGCUCAGUCAGUUGAGCAUCUGACUUUGGCUCAGGUCAUGAUCUCAUGGCUUGUGAGUUCGAGCCCCAUGUCGGGCU